rnacentral:rRNA from 1 species
GAUGAACGCUGGCGGCGUGCCUAAUACAUGCAAGUCGAGCGAACGGACGAGAAGCUUGCUUCUCUGAUGUUAGCGGCGGACGGGUGAGUAACACGUGGAUAACCUACCUAUAAGACUGGGAUAACUUCGGGAAACCGGAGCUAAUACCGGAUGAUAUUUUGAACCGCAUGGUUCAAAAGUGAAAGACGGUCUUGCUGUCACUUAUAGAUGGAUCCGCGCUGCAUUAGCUAGUUGGUAAGGUAACGGCUUACCAAGGCAACGAUGCAUAGCCGACCUGAGAGGGUGAUCGGCCACACUGGAACUGAGACACGGUCCAGACUCCUACGGAAGGCAGCAGUAGUGAAUCUUCCGCAAUGGGCGAAAGCCUGACGGAGCAACGCCGCGUGAGUGAUGAAGGUCUUCGGAUCGUAAAACUCUGUUAUUAGGGAAGAACAUAUGUGUAAGUAACUGUGCACAUCUUGACGGUACCUAAUCAGAAAGCCACGGCUAACUACGUG